rnacentral:misc_RNA from 1 species
AAGAAAAAAACUCAAAAAAUGGGUUUUAAAAAACCCCGGGGUAUUUUUUUUUUUUUUUUUKGGUUKGKUUGAUCCCUAUUUUUUUUUAUUCUUCAUUACAGAUUUAUUAUCGUUAUCAUUUCUUGCAUCUCUCGMGAAAUUCCGCGUAGGCGSGAAUUCUCNCCAAUUUGUGACCUAUCAUAGAAUYUGUUAUAUAAAUASGUAANANURUUCCUUUCCAUUAUGAAUACCGAUUGUAUGGCCAACCAUUGAGGGUAUAAUGGUAGAUGCCCGAGACCAAGUGAMUAUUAUUUCUUUCUCCUCCCCCAUUUUGAUUUUUUGAAUUUUUUCCGAUAAAUGCUUGGCUACAAAUUUUUUUUUUGCUACAAAUCUUUUUUUUUGACGUAUCACAGCUGAUUACUCCUUUUUUGACGUGUUAAAGAUUGGCAUUCUAUGUCCAAUAUAUCGAUCUAAGUAU